CCACUAAUCAAUACAACCACUAACUAAUCUUCAUUCUGGAUAAUAAUAAUAAUUAAAUUCCAGUCAUAUCUCUUACUGUAGCAGUAACACUGUAGGCCAAACUGCCUCAUCGGCUUAUCUGUAAUCGUUUUUCUUUUUUGAAGGAGGAGCUUAUGGGAAACUGAUGUCUGUCUUUGUUUUUCAGUCUCUGUAGAGUAUAUAAAUGGAUACAUUUAUGUGUAGUGUCACUAUCUGGGAAAACAAAUCUUCACAUUAUGAUGAAGCUGAUUCUUUCCCUGACUCUCUUCUGCGGAAUCUGCAGCACAGCGGGAGCCCUUCAGUGUUUAACCUGCAAAGAUGUGACAUGUUUAACUACAAACCCAGUUAUGUGCACUAUAGAGAAGGCCUGCGUGACAGCUUCUAUUCUAGUGACAUCAUCUGGAAUUAAGGUACCACAAAUCAUCAGGGGUUGUGCACCAGACUUCGCGUGUCCAGUCUUAGGCUCUCAGACAUAUUCAGCAAACCUGGGUAUUUUGAGCGCAGCUGCAUCUGUUGAAUGCUGCAACAAAAACGACUGCAACUUAAAUAUUUUGCCUGUCCCUGCAGAUCAGAGCGAGAACAAUCUGAAGUGUUUUUCAUGUGACCCCGGCUCCACUCAGUGUAACUCUACAGUGAAGUGUAGUGGAGUAGAGAAUCGCUGCUUUCAAGCAUUUGUGCCAUCAGGUAUCAGCGCUUCAGUUCCAGUCAAGGGCUGCGUGUCUGAAAACAUCUGUACAGCAGUGUCCAACCUUUUAAGUCUCCCUGUCUUGAGUCUUGGGAACGUCAGCUGUUGUGAUAACAAUUUGUGUAAUACUGCUCUAACAACAACAACAUUCAUCUAUCUUCUAUUUGGACUCAUAUAUAUUAUCUAUUAGAAGAAAAUAAAAAGGCAUGAAACACCGUUGAAGCAUCAGAAAGGCUCAGAAAACCCCUUUUUCAAGACCUGAUUUGGCUUACGAAAUCCAAAUUUAGAUAAGAGGCUGGAGUCUGUCUGAAGCUGAGGUUCAAUAAAAAGGCAUCAAUAUAAAACAAAUAAAAAAACUGCAUACACACCAAUAUUUACUCGAUAUAUCAUACUUUCUGCAUGUUUUUUUUUUCUUUUAAUUAUCAAGGAAAUUGGGCAUUUUAAGGCUUGUGUGAAAUGUGGAACUCGAGCAUUCCCUGUAGUAGGAAAAAUAGUAUCAAUAUCUGAAAAUAAUGAAGAUUUAACUGAAACAAUACUAAAGCCUUUACAGGCAUGAAUAAUCUACUGCAUAAGGGAUUCUUCAUAAAUGGCUCUCAAUGUAAAACCAUGAACAAAAUAAAUAAAAUAAAAUUUAUAAAGCAAAGAUAUAUAAAUAAAAACAAGGAAAAAAAUCUGUUUGAAACUGAUAUGAAAUUUUAUUUAU
rnacentral:lncRNA from 1 species